rnacentral:tRNA from 1 species
GGAAGCGUGGCCGAGCGGUUUAAGGCAGCGCACUUGAAAUGCGCCGAACGCGCGAGCGUUCCGUGGGUUCGAAUCCCACCGCUUCCUCCA